UACGGGGGGUGCGAGCGUUGUCCGGAAUCACUGGGCGUAAAGGGCGCGUAGGUGGUUUGAUAAGGGUGUGGUGAAAGUCCGGGGCUCAACCCCGGAUCUGCCGUGCCGACUGUCAAACUCGAGGACUGUAGAGGCAGACGGAAUUCCGGGUGUAGCGGUGGAAUGCGUAGAGAUCCGGAGGAAGACCGGUGGCGAAGGCGGCCAUCUGGACCAGCACUGACACUGAGGCACGAAAGCGUGGGGAGCAAACAGG
rnacentral:rRNA from 1 species